AUAAGGUUCUAACCAAUUGGAGAUAAUCAGAACAGGGAAAAGCCCUUCUAAGCAUCAUGCUUUAUAAGGAAGAAAAUUCCCAUUCAUUUCCCCCUCCCUUUGUGUUUCUGGAAUGUAGAUGUGUUGAUAGGAGCGGAAGCAUCCAGCAUAGGUCUUGGGGUAGGAACCACGUGUUUGGGGUCGGCAGACAGAAGAGAUGUGCACAAAACGAGGCCCAGCAUCGGCCUGUUGGCUAGGGUUGCUUAAUUCUUGGCUGUUUUUUAGGAAAUAAUCUGCUCCUGUCUAUAAGGCAGUGUUAGUUUAGCCUCUGUUCCAGCAGCAAUGCUGCUGACAAACCCAUACCUUUCUGGCUCAUGCCACGCUCACUGGGGGCUGUCUCUAUCUUCUGAGAGCAGCAGGCUGACUACAUAGAGAUGUGGAUCAAGUGCCUACUUCAAGGCUGAGCCCAUAUGCUGGACUUCAGCACCCUGUCUGGCAAAGCUCCCCAAAGUCCUGGCUGGAAUAUCAAUAGGGGCUCCUCCUGUUCAUCAGCCCGCAACGGCCAAGUCCCAAGAAGGAGCAGGCGGCACCCUUGGCUUUUCGGCCUUCUUGGAAAGGACCCUUCCUCUGGUGGUGCCGGUACAGACAGACAAAGGAAGUCCGCAUUGGAGGGAUGGUGCCUGGGAGGCAGCACCCUGUGCAGUAGGCAGGGAGGGUGCUCAUGAGUGGGGUGGGGCUACAUGUGUCAGAACUGCUGAGAUGCCAGGCAGGAUGUGAUUAACAUCGCACUGGGUGUGACAGCCACCCUGCCUGCCAGCCCCCAAGCCCAUUGUUCGGCAGCCCGGCAGCCCCCUUUCCUUCACCCCACCCUGCUGCAGCAUGCCCAGACUCUGUGUGUCAGGUCCCCUCUGCUCCCUACCCAGCAUUUAUCCAUGGUGCCAGCCCCCUAAAAAUAGCAGCCUGCCUGAAAUGGAGGCCUAAGGCGAACUCCACAAGAGGAGACAGCCUCCCCCUGUGCCCUGGCCCAAGCCAUUCGUGAGCUGUCUACCCUGAAGCUGAGCAGAGGGCCUGCCUUCGCACGCUGUUCUAAACAGAGGGAAAGCCAGCAGCAGGCUUCUGCUUAUAGCCCAGGCGCCUGGCUCUGCUUUUGUCUUUCCAGGGAUACUCUCCUCUUUCCGGGGCCCUCCAUAUCCCAGUGGGCUCAGCCUUGGUGUGAGAGAGGAUGAAGGGAGAUUGGCUGUGAGCAGACAGAGAGAGCUUGUAGUUCUUGCACCUCAUUGCCUCUGUCCCACCACUCGGUCCUGGAACCCUCUCUGACCACAUGUCUCAUAGGCAUCAUUGAAAAUAGCUGAAGACAGUGGCUGGAGAGAUGGCUCAGCGGGUAAGAGCACUGACUGCUCUUCCAAAGGUCCUGAGUUCAAAUGCCAGCAACAACAUGGUGGCUCACAACCACCUGUAAUGAGACCUGACGCCCUCUUCUGGUGCAUCUGAAGACAGCUACAGUGUACUUAUGUAUAAUUAUAAAUAAAUCUUUGGGCCAGAGCUAGCAGGGACUGAGGGAGCCAGGCCGGGCAGAGCAAGCGGGGUUGACUGGCUCACAACUAUCUGUACAGCUACAGUGUACAAAUAUACAUAAAUAAAUAAAUCUUUAAAAGAGAAUGAAGGAGCCGGGCAGUGGUGGUGCAUGCCUUUAAUCCCAGCACACAGGAGGCAGAGGCAGGCGGAUUUCUGAGUUCGAGGCCAGCCUGGUCUACAAAGUGAGUUCCAGGACAGCCAGGGCUAUACAGAGAAACUCUGUCUCAAAAAACAAACAAACAAACAAACAAAAACAAAAAAAGAAAGAAAGAAGGAAGGAAAGGAAGGAAAGGAAGAGAGAGAAAGAAAGAAAGAAAGUAAGAAAGAGAGAGAGAGAGAGAAAGAAAGAAAGAAAGAAAGAAAGAAAGAAAGAAAGAAAGAAAGAAAGGAAGGAAGGAAGAAAGGAAGAAAGAAAGAGAAAGAAAGCUGCAGAGAUGGCUCAGUGGGUAGAGCACUGGCUGCUCUUGUAGAGGACUGGGUUCGAUUCCCAGCAACCACAUGGUGUGGGUCACAACUGUCAGUAACCCUACUCCUAGGGGAAUUCAAUGCCCUUUUCUGGUCUUCACAGUUGUGGCACACACACAAAAUAAUUUAGAUGAAUAAAAAGAUUAGCAAAAGAACCGGACAUGGUGGCGCACUUGAGAGUCAGAGGCAGGCGGACCUCUGUGAAGAAUGCUGGGAACUUGAGUGAGCUGUGGUGGUGUGACAAGGCUCAAGGAGUCAGUUCUGUGGUCUCUGGAAGCAUCUUCUUUGUCACGCUGUCACAUGUCAUUCCUACACUGAGUUGGUAACCCCACUGUAAGGGGAGAAGAAGAAAUGGCCGGGAUGUGUCUCCUGAGAGUCAUUCUAAAACACCGGUGAGCCUGGAGGGUUGGUGUCCCCCGGAACCUGGGAGACGAGGCAGGAGGAGGAUGAGCUUGAGGCUAGUCUGGGUUAUGUGGUGAGCACCAGGGCAGUUCUCAAACACAAACAAUAACCCAAAAAACUAGCCGGGCGUGGUGGCGCACACCUUUAAUCCCAGCACUCGGGGGGCAGAGGUAGGCGGAUUUCUGAGUUCAAGGCCAGCUUGGUCUACAAAGUGAGUUCCAGGAUAGCCAAAUAUAUAUAUAUAUAUUUGGGGUUUUUUUGAGACAGGGUUUCUCUGUGUAGCCCUGGCUGUCCUGGAACUCACUUUGU
rnacentral:lncRNA from 1 species